AAGAAGAAGAAGAAGAAGAAAAAGAAGUUGGCAAUGACACACAGGAACAGGAGCCACGGUGAAAGGUUACUUCAGUUUGUUUUGUUUUGUUUUGCUUUUUUUGGGUUCCUUUUUUUAUUUUUGAUGUUUUCCUUCUUUGUUU
rnacentral:ribozyme from 1 species